UCUACUCAUUCGUCCGUCCCGCUAGAUUUUUCUAUACGUCCUCUUCUUCAUCGUAGUCAUUCGGCUGCCUUCUUUUUCGAUCGCCCUUCAAGGUCAAUUUCUAGGAACGCAAAUGAUUCUCCUCCCUGAUCCACCAGAGAUGCAGAAUACAAGUUCUUCAACUCUGAAGCUGCUGGAUCAACUCAGAUCAGUCAAUGAAACUUCAGGAAGCUUCAAGAUUCCAUUACAGAUGUCUUUCGAUGUCAUAUCGGGGAAAAGUUUGGUCAAUCUAAACAUUUCUGGCAGUAGUUUCUGGAAAUCCUGCUUUCUUGUUUUUUAGUCUAGUAGGAAAAAUGAGAUUUGAGACACGUUGAUAACGAUUUCUCUUUAAUUCUUAAUUUUCAGAGGGAAUGGUUAAGGAUCAAGAUUCUGCCAAAUAGGAACUCGAAAUGGCCGUUUGUCCUACCUGUGUUUGUUGACCAUCAUUCGAUACCUUUUCUUUGUUUCCCCUUAGUUCAUCUUUACCCAGCUCAAUUGUUUUUUACCAGUGAAUACCGCUUGGAUGUUUAAAUGUUUGGUUGAGGUCCGAUUUUUAUUUUUCCAACCCGAAAUUUAUGCUGUCUUGGUCCUUUCAGGAUGAUUCUUAGUGUAAAUCAAUCUGUUGCAUUUAAAAAUGCGAAUACGUCACUUCUACUUGAAAAGGAAUGUCUUUGGGAAUUCAUACUUCACCAUUCAUGUUGUAGAGUUUGAGACUGAAGAAAUUGACAGAUCGAAUUUAUGUCCUCGAGGCAAAGUUACAAAGCGUAAACAGUGAAAAUGCAAGGCUGAAACUAAAACAGGGUGAAGAUUCAAAGUUACGGAGUAGUUUGGAUUCAAAAUGAUGCUUAAAUGAGUCAUUGCCUGAUCAACGGACAGAGGCUAUGCAGCGACUUGCUCAGCUGGCGGAGGAAGGUAGCAGCCUGUAUUUUCUUGGUACAGUGCAUUUGUAUCUGAACUUAAUCCAGUAUUUCCUGGAUUAGCCAUAAAAGGGCGUUACAAAAAAAAAUAUGAUAUUCUUUCGUUUUGAGAAGCUGAGAGAGGCAAAAAGUGCUUCGAGAAUAAGUUGGCUGCCAGUUCAGUAGCAUUUGAUGAUUUAAACAUAAAGCUGAAUUCAUUAACCUUCAAGCUAGAAUGUGCAGAAAGAAAUAUUGCGAUUGGUAGAUAGUGCUUUCACAAAAUGCACGUUUUGAAAGGAAAAAAAAAAACCCCGCUGUUGUCUCAACCGUACUUUCUGAAAAUGUUAGUUGCUUUUUCACUCUAAAAAAAUCAGGUAAUAGAGCUUGGCAGGGACCUGGAUGCUGUAACUUUGCAAAUCAAGGAGGAACGUGAAAUUGCAAGGGAGAAAAUUCAGAAAUGUCAACUUGAAUUGGAGCGCUUCAGAUCAAAGGAGACUGAAUUGAUGGCCACAAUGAAAGUUUCACAGUCAUCAAAAACCACGAGUAAAUUUGAAGAUCAAAAGGUAUGACUGGAUAUUACUUGGUUAAAAGUUCUGCAUUGUGGCCCAUCUCUGAGAGAUGGGAAUUUCAGCAAGAGUUAAAGAUGCAAAUCUUGAGUUUGGAAUCGAUCAACCGAGACACUCAAGAGAAACAGAGUCUCUGUUACAAGGAAACAAGGAUGAAAUUGAUGCUCUUCACGAAGAUAUUGAGAAGAAUUGCAAGCGUGUGGAAUCAUUGGAGAUCCAAAUCAGCCUGCUCCAUGUUCAGCUGGAUGACAGGGAAAAGGUUGAAUUGAAUCUUAAAGAAAAGGAGAAGGAAUCGGUUGAGAAUAUUGUGCGGGUUAUGCUGGCAACAAAUAUUGCUGAAACAUCGGUGACAAUUCCUGGAAUCAAGUAUGUGGUUGACCCAGGAUUGGUUAAAUCACGUUCUUAUCAUCCACACACUGGAAUGGAGUCACUAGUUAUCGUCCCUAUUUCAAAAGCACAAGCUCUUCAGAGAAGGGUCCUGUUAUCAAGUUAGGAGACACCGCUCUUGUGAGUCGUGGUCCUGGCGGCCCGUCUAGAUCCCUUCGCCGGUGCACUCACUGCAAGAAGACAGGUCACACCGUGGAUUAUUGUUGGGAUCUUCAUCCAGAAAAGAAGGGACACAAAGGGAGAUCUUCGAUUGGGAGAACGCCUGUGUCUGAGGUGCAAGCAUCCAGUGGAGAAAAAGUCUCCAUUUCUGCUGACCAGCUUCGUGAACUAAGGGCUUAUUUGGGCAGGAUCGAUGUCAACAAGAUUGAGACCUCAGAGGGAACUACAGCUAAUCAUGCUCUCGCGGUUAUUGGCAAUCAAGGUAGCUCUUCUGUGGGGGAAUGGAUUGUCGAUAGUGGUGCUACUCAUCACAUGACAGGACUUGGUGACAGGGAAGAGGAUUGGGAUUGGUUUAGCUUCUGAUGGAUUAUAUCGUCUUCCCAUACGUGUGGCUACUGCUCUGUUGACAGCGAUCCACAAGACAGAUAAGAGAAGAGAAGAUUGUCUUCAGUCUUUUAUGUACUGGCAUGAACGUUUUGGGCAUUUACCUUUUGGGAUUUUGAAACAUUUGUUUCCAGACUUGUGUUCCUCCUUUGAUUUGUCUUCCAUUUCUUGUGAUGUUUGUCAGUUUGCCAAACAUGUGAGGGCUUCGUACCCUCUUUC